rnacentral:rRNA from 1 species
AUUGAACGCUGGCGGCAGGCUUAACACAUGCAAGUCGAGCGGAGUGAUGGUGCUUGCACUAUCACUUAGCGGCGGACGGGUGAGUAAUGCUUAGGAAUCUGCCUGUUAGUGGGGGACAACAUCUCGAAAGGGAUGCUAAUACCGCAUACGUCCUACGGGAGAAAGCAGGGGAUCACUUGUGACCUUGCACUAAUAGAUGAGCCUAAGUCGGAUUAGCUAGUUGGUGGGGUAAAGGCCUACCAAGGCGACGAUCUGUAGCGGGUCUGAGAGGAUGAUCCGCCACACUGGGACUGAGACACGGCCCAGACUCCUACGGGAGGCAGCAGUGGGGAAUAUUGGACAAUGGGGGGAACCCUGAUCCAGCCAUGCCGCGUGUGUGAAGAAGGCCUUAUGGUUGUAAAGCACUUUAAGCGAGGAGGAGGCUCUUUUGGUUAAUACCCAAGAUGAGUGGACGUUACUCGCAGAAUAAGCACCGGCUAACUCUGUGCCAGCCGCCGCAGUAA